GGCAGUUUAUAACUGGAAAACAUUCUUAAACAGAUAACAUUAAAAGAAAAAUGUACAGCAUGAGAGAGAAUUAUAUGAACUCAGAUCAGGUCCGCUUGACAGGGUCGAAGUUGGACACACCAAUUACAGCUCCAACAAGGGCGACCAGAACCACACCACCAGCCGCUAUGCUGAGCAAGAAGUUCUUGAGAGAUGGGGUGACUCCAUCAGCUGCUUGAGCCACCUCUGGGAUCAUCAUCGAUGUCGUCAGCGCCGCUGCUGUCAACCCUGUCACCACCUUUUCCUUGAACGAAGAAGAAGCAGCCUUGACUUGGAGCCGUCCGUUGGGUCUUUUAACAGCGCCC
rnacentral:lncRNA from 1 species